UACGGAGGGUCCAAGCGUUAUCCGGAAUCAUUGGGUUUAAAGGGUCCGUAGGCGGUUUUGUAAGUCAGUGGUGAAAGCCCAUCGCUCAACGGUGGAACGGCCAUUGAUACUGCAAGACUUGAAUUACUAGGAAGUAACUAGAAUAUGUAGUGUAGCGGUGAAAUGCUUAGAUAUUACAUGGAAUACCAAUUGCGAAGGCAGGUUACUACUAGUUGAUUGACGCUGAUGGACGAAAAGCGUGGGGAGCGAACAGG
rnacentral:rRNA from 1 species